GGCUGAUCAAUGCAAUAAGGAUGGCUUGGGCAGUGUGGAGAGGAGCUGGCUGGAGAUCUCCCCUCAGAGACGAGGAGAGUGCUCUGAAAACACUGAUGCAUGUGCAGGUGAGAUCAGAGCAGAGUUGUGAUCUGACAUCAGCUGAACUCCUGGGAUAGCUCCCCUUUCAGCAUUUUCUUUGGAAACAAUGUGUGACUUUGCUGAAAGGAGAGAGAAUAAGAGCGAGUCUUGUGGGUUGAAACCAUCUCCUGAGCACCUGGGAGAGCAGAGCAGAGUGUUCCAGGGCUUCCUGCUUCGUCAACAGGUUCUGGCCAAGUCCCCGAGGAGCACGGGGGACAGCUACCAUCAUCUUCAUUGGCUAAGAUUGUCACAAUGAAAUCGGCCACAUCGCUCAGAAUAUUAAAUUACUCCUAUUUUUAGAGCGGCUCUGCCUUUCAACGGUUGAUGAAGUGAUGAAGUUCCUGAGGAGGCCAGGAACUGCCAUUGAUGAAAGCACAGCCCAAGGUUAUGAAGAUCCUCUGGUAGGAGUUUGAGAUGCCAGGACUGUAGGAUAACUACCAAGAACAGCAGGUGUGGUGUGGAACUGGCCUGACUUUAGCAGACAGUCUGUGUGUGCUAUUGAUGGCAGAGCCGGAGAGAUGGAGCUGCACAAGCUCCUUUGAAACCUACACGAUCGUGAGCACCACUAAAGUUAACCCGCUCUGGGCCGUCAGUUAAGUAUUUGAUGUACUGACACGAGGACCUGAGUUCUAUUGCCACUUCCCAUGUAAAGGAGGUCAGGAUGGUGAUACAGGCUUGGAGUCCAAGCUCUGGGGAACUGCAGGCUCACGGUCAUCCAGCUUAACCAACUGGAUCAACACUAAAGUUUCUGGGCAUCUGUAAGAACCAUCUCCACUCAGUCUGUGGAGACCUAUAGCAGGGAAGUAAGAGGAACAGGCAUUGGACGUUCAAUUGGGAGAAGUUGAAGGGAUUUCCCAGGAAUAGAAUUCUGGAGUUUCAGUGUUUAUGUUGGGAAAUGCAAAGAAUGCAAAG